GGAAGAGAUGCUGGGCCAGUAGAGAAUGAGCUGAGCUCAGAAAACAGUGGGGAGAGAGUGGUGUGAAGAUUCUGAUGCCCUUGCAUUCCCACAAAAAGCUUGCAGCCUAGGGGAGUGGGAAGUCGAUUUCCCCUUAGAAUCAUGACCCAUUUCUGACUCCUCUGUUCAGGCAGGACUAAAAUUACAGGAUAGGCAUGCCACGUGCAAAAUGUGAACACAGAGAAGGCUCUUCACACCCAUAAGCCAAGCACUAGACAAGGAAAAAAAAAAAUCUCUAUUUAAAAUGCACGUAAGACAAACACAGAUUUACACACACACACACACACACACACACACACACCCCUGCAGCUACUUUCAUACACAAAGAAAGUUGCAAAGUUUCCUUCAACCCCCAACCAAAACUACUUUAGGAAAUGGAACUAAAAUGAUUAACUUUGUCAUGUGAAUAAACAUGAGGAUCAGGGAAAUAUUUUGCUGGAAAGAAAAUUCGAAAAAUGAAUUUCUAAGGCCUACUAUAACUGCUAUUAUAUUACAGGAAGAUUUUCAAAUGUAUUGUUCAGUACAUUGGGCUACCUACAAAGUCCAUUUUUUUUUUUCAAUUCCAGUUUAAACUUCUGAAGGACACCAUAAGGACUUGUUGGAGAUUGCCCAAAUGUGAUCUCAUUUCAGGCUAAGAAAUGGUGACACAGCCAAAUUUAAUUAAGCUCCUGUCUUUUCUAACUCUAUUUUAAAACAUGACACAAAAUCCUAUGGAUGCUAGUUUCCCUAAAGACAGAUUUGGGAAGUGUUACUGGAAGGGGGUGUCAAAACACAGCACUCAGAAACGAACACAGCACAAGACUUUAAAAGGGCCACUCAAAGCAAGCCUUGGCUUCCCAGGUGCCUAAAACCAUAUGAGAUAGUGCUGGGCUGGAGGGGCUCAGUGGGGACAGACGAUUGUCAUCCCCUUCCUCCUGCCCUGCCUUUUAGGAAAGUACAGCUUAUUUUCCUCAAGGGUCUGGGAAUGGCACUUUCCAUACCAUUUAGGAGACACUCACUAUUCCUAUACCACUACCUAGAGUCACUUCACCAGGGACACCUUCCUAAUAACAGGAAGCUUAACAAUCCAGACUCUGAAAGUACAGCUACAGGACCUUGUGAUGAUAGAUAAAUACUUAAAUAUCCAAAUUGAUUGUCCUUGGCUGAGUGGGACUUGAUUGCAAAAUGGGAGCUCAUCCCGUUAGCUAUUUGGCUUUAAAGCAAUCUCCGUCCAGAGUGCAAAAUCAGAACCAAACACAAGGGCAUUCAAAUUUCACUGACUGUGCAAUGAUCUUCAUUCUACACUAAUGAAGUCAUGAUACAGAUUUUGACCUUUAAAAAAUCAUAGUUAAAAAUACCAACAUUGGAAAAGGACUUUCUCUGCACCCUGUGAUUUAUCACAUGCAGUCCUUUCCAUCUGAGCAGCAACCCUCUAAGAAAAGAAAAUCUCUUUCCAUGCCCCUUCCUACUUCUGGUGUAUGCUGGGCCUCCUCAUUGUAGGACCCUGGGACCCUCCAGGAUGUGGGACCCUCUCUUGUGUUUCUUGUGCUCCAAGAUGUUGCUUAGGAUAAUUUGAUAUGUUCCCCAUCCCUUUGAAAGUGUGGGUGGGUGGGUAGGUGCUAAGCCAGAGGUGCAAAACCUCUC
ensembl:lncRNA